rnacentral:lncRNA from 1 species
GGGAUCAGUGUUCUGGAAAGACUGGUACAUCUUAGUAUGCUUGACGAAGAGAGUGGCUGAUUUCACUAGCCACUUGUGUGGGAUACUAAUACAAAGAUGUGGGUGCUCAUUUGGAUAUGAGUCUACUGAAUUGACUCGAUGAUAGAAAAUAUUUUAUGGAAGCCUUACUUGCACGUCAAAGAUGGUUUUCUAAGUGGGAGUUAUGCAUGUGAUCCUUAGACCUGAGAUCAUCAUGAAAUUUUGUACAC